UACGUAGGGUGCAAGCGUUGUCCGGAAUUAUUGGGCGUAAAGAGCGUGUAGGCGGCCCGGUUAGUCCGCUGUGAAAGUCCAGGGCUCAACCCUGGAAUGCCGGUGGAUACUGUCGGGCUAGAGUCCGGAAGGGGCGAGUGGAAUUCCUGGUGUAGCGGUGAAAUGCGCAGAUAUCAGGAGGAACACCAAUUGCGAAGGCAGCUCGCUGGGACGUAACUGACGCUGAGACGCGAAAGCGUGGGGAGCAAACAGG
rnacentral:rRNA from 1 species